rnacentral:rRNA from 1 species
AUUGAACGCUGGCGGCAUGCCUUACACAUGCAAGUCGAACGGUAACAGGUCUUCGGAUGCUGACGAGUGGCGAACGGGUGAGUAAUACAUCGGAACGUGCCCGAGAGUGGGGGAUAACGAGGCGAAAGCUUUGCUAAUACCGCAUACGAUCUCAGGAUGAAAGCAGGGGACCGCAAGGCCUUGCGCUCACGGAGCGGCCGAUGGCAGAUUAGGUAGUUGGUGGGAUAAAAGCUUACCAAGCCGGCGAUCUGUAGCUGGUCUGAGAGGACGACCAGACACACUGGGACUGAGAAACGGCCCAGACUCCUACGGGAGGCAGCAGUGGGGAAUUUUGGACAAUGGGCGCAAGCCUGAUUCAGCCAUGCCGCGUGCAGGAUGAAGGCCUUCGGGUUGUAAACUGCUUUUGUACGGAACGAAAAGACUCUGGUUAAUACCUGGGGUCCAUGACGGUACCGUAAGAAUAAGCACCGGCUAACUACGUGCCAGCCGCCGCCGUAA